rnacentral:rRNA from 1 species
AACGAACGCUGGCGGCAUGCCUAACACAUGCAAGUCGAACGAGACCUUCGGGUCUAGGGGCGCACGGGUGCGUAACGCGGGGGAACCUGCCCUUAGGUUCGGAAUAACUCCCCGAAAGGGGUGCUAAUACCGGAUAAUGUCUUCGGACCAAAGAUUUAUCGCCUUUGGAUGGGCCCGCGUUGGAUUAGCUAGUUGGUAGGGUAAAAGCCUACCAAGGCGACGAUCCAUAGCUGGUCUGAGAGGAUGAUCAGCCACACUGGGACUGAGACACGGCCCAGACUCCUACGGGAGGCAGCAGUGGGGAAUAUUGGACGAUGGGCGAAAGCCUGAUCCAGCAGUGCCGCGUGAGUGAUGAAGGCCUUAGGGUUGUAAAGCUCUUUUACCCGGGAUGAUAAUGACAGUACCGGGAGAAUAAGCUCCGGCUAACUCCGUG